GAUUGGUUAGAUCUUCACUUAGAUGUUGGGCGAUUUAGUAAUCACUAGCAGACUGCUCCUAUUGAAGGCUUGUUGUUUUCAACUUGGGUUACCUUCCAGGAGGUGACAAAUCCGAUAAUUACAGUGCCAGAAAAGACAUCACAAGCUUUGGAAUCUGCAUGUAGGCUAAUGGGACCUGGUGGACUUAUCAGCGUCAUGGUUUACGUCGGACAUCCUGGUGGAAGGGAGGAGUACGAGACAAUCCAAUCCUUUGCUUCUGGAUUACCAUCCGAGAGUUGGGUUUGCUGUAAGUUUGAAAUGUUAAAUCGACCACUGGCGCCAGUUCUUGUAUUGUUAUUUAAGAAAUGAAUAUAUGUUUCCUGUAUGCUAUAUUCAUAUAAAAAGAAAAACAGGGUCUUAUAAGCAUCACUUUGAUCCGCAUAUGAAACCGAUCCCUGGUUAAUAUGUUUCCUUUUUACAGUACUUGCA